GAUGAACGCUGGCGGCGUGCCUAAUACAUGCAAGUCGAGCGAACGGACGAGAAGCUUGCUUCUCUGAUGUUAGCGGCGGACGGGUGAGUAACACGUGGAUAACCUACCUAUAAGACUGGGAUAACUUCGGGAAACCGGAGCUAAUACCGGAUAAUAUUUUGAACCGCAUGGUUCAAAAGUGAAAGGCGGUCUUGCUGUCACUUAUAGAUGGAUCCGCGCUGCAUUAGCUAGUUGGUAAGGUAACGGCUUACCAAGGCAACGAUGCAUAGCCGACCUGAGAGGGUGAUCGGCCACACUGGAACUGAGACACGGUCCAGACUCCUACGGGAGGCAGCAGUAGGGAAUCUUCCGCAAUGGGCGAAAGCCUGACGGAGCAACGCCGCGUGAGUGAUGAAGGUCUUCGGAUCGUAAAACUCUGUUAUUAGGGAAGAACAUAUGUGUAAGUAACUGUGCACAUCUUGAAGGUACCUAAUCAGAAAGCCACGGCUAACUACGUG
rnacentral:rRNA from 1 species